GAGCGGGGACAAAGUGGAUAACGCGCCUGACUACGGAUCAGGAGAUUCCAGGUUCGAAUCCCGGCAGGCUCG
rfam:Schistosoma mattheei strain Denwood, Zambia genome assembly, scaffold: SMTD_scaffold0012193